rnacentral:tRNA from 2 species
GGGGGAUUAGCUCAAAUGGUAGAGCGCUCGCUUAGCAUGCGAGAGGUAGCGGGAUCAAUGCCUGCAUCCUCCA